rnacentral:lncRNA from 10 species
ACAGUGUUGUCCCAGAAGUCACCCAGAGCAGAAAACUUGGACCAAUGAAGACCAAUGAGCUAUUUUUUAGCAGGAAAAAGAAAUGAAGAUGAUGAAAUCACUGUUCAAAGAAGUUAAGUGACUACCAAAACACAAGCAGCAAGCAGAGGAGCUGAAAUUGGAACCUGGGUGAUAUAGUUUGGCUGUGUCUCCACCCAAAUCUCCUGUUGAAUUGUAACUCCCACAAUUCCCACAUGUUGUGGGAGAAACCUGGUGGGAGGUAAUUGAAUCAUGGGGGCUGGUCUUUCCUGUGCUGUUCGCGUGAUAGUGAAUAAGUCUCACAAGAUCUGAUGGUUUUAAAAAAAGGAGUUUCCCUGCACAAGUUCUCUCUCUCUUUGCCUGCCACCAUCCAUGUAAGAUUUGACUUGCUCUGCCUUGCCUUCUACCAUGAUUGUGAGGCUUCCCCAGCCACAUGGAACUGUGUAGAUCCAUUAAACCUCUUCUUCUUCCCAGU